GACGAACGCUGGCGGCGUGCUUAACACAUGCAAGUCGAACGGAAAGGCCCUGCUUUUGUGGGGUGCUCGAUUGGCGCACGGGUGAGUAACACGUGAGUAACCUGCCCUUAACUUUGGGAUAACUUCAGGAAACUGGGGCUAAUACCGGAGAGGAUCUCCUGCUGCAUGGUGGGGGUUGGAAAGUUUCGGCGGUUGGGGAUGUAUUCGCGGCUUAUCAGCUUGUUGGUGGGGUUGUGGCUUACCCAGGCUUUGACGGGUAGCCGGCCUGAGAGGGUGACCGGCGACAUUGGGACUUAGCUGCGGCCUAGACUCCGACGGGAGGCAGCAGGGGGGAAGAUUGCACAAUAGGCGGAAGCCUGAUGCAGCAACGCAGCGUGCGGGAUGACGGCCUUCGGGUGGUAAACCGAUUUCGCCUGUGACGAAGCGUGAGUGACGGUAAUGGGUAAAGAAGCACCGGCUAACUACGUG
rnacentral:rRNA from 1 species